rnacentral:rRNA from 1 species
UACGACUACAUAUCAGGCAUAUCAAUAAGCGGAGGAAAAGAAACUAACAAGGAUUCCCUUAGUAACGGCGAGUGAAGCGGGAAGAGCUCAAAUUUGAAAUCUUCAAGGUUCUACCUUGACGAAUUGUAGUUUAAAGAAGUGUUUUCUGUUAGAUGAGUAGCAAAAGUUCCUUGGAAUGGGACAUCAUAGAGGGUGAGAAUCCCGUAUUUGGUUAUUCAUUCUAGCUUUGUGAUACACUUUCGAAAGAGUCGGAUUGUUUGGGAAUGCAGUCCAAAAUGGGUGGUAAAUUUCAUCUAAAGCUAAAUAUUGGCGAGAGACCGAUAGCGAACAAGUACCGUGAGGGAAAGAUGAAAAGAACUUUGAAAAGAGAGUUAAACAGUACGUGAAAUUGUCAAAAGGGAAGCGUUUGACACCAGUGUUGUUUUUCCGAAAAUCAAUUACGAAUGGCUUGAUUUUGUGUUGUAUUGACCUUAUCAGCUUUCUUCACUUUUUACGAGUCUUUCUUAAUGCACUUUUUCGGUUAACAAGUCAACAUCAAUUUCUUUUGUUGUAGAAGAGUAUUCGGAAGGUGGCUUUCUUUUCGGAGAAAGUGUUUAUAGCCCUAUACUUCUACAAUCGGAGAGAUUGAGGUCUGCAGCGUAGAUCCUUCGGGGUUAGAUACACUUGUGCUAAGUUGUAGCUUUUCAUAGACAACUUGUUGACUAUGUUUAGUCAUGCGGCUUACUCGCUUGUGCUAUUUUACCUACGCUUAGGAUGUUGAGUAGCGACAUACGCAC